CAAUAGCGUAUAUUUAAGUUGUUGCAGUUAAAAAGCUCGUAGUUGGAUUUCGGAUGGGAUUUGCCGGUCCGUCGUUACGAUGUGCACUGGCCAGUCCUAUCUUGUUGUCGGGGACUAGCUCCUUGGAUUCACUUCCUGGGACUAGGAGCUGACGAGGUUACUUUGAGUAAAUUAGAGUGUUCAAAGCAAGCCUACGCUCUGAAUACAUUAGCAUGGAAUAACACGUUAGGACUCUGGCUUAUCUUGUUGGUCUGUGAGACCAGAGUAAUGAUUAAGAGGGACAGUCGGGGACAUUCGUAUUUCAUUGUCAGAGGUGAAAUUCUUGGAUUUAUGAAAGACGAACUUCUGCGAAAGCAUUUGUCAAGGAUGUUUUCAUUAA
rnacentral:rRNA from 1 species